rnacentral:piRNA from 1 species
UACAUCGGAUCUACGGCACACCCUUU